rnacentral:rRNA from 1 species
CGCGUAGGCGGUGUGUACAGUCAGAUCGUGAAAUUCCUGGGCUUAACCUGGGGGCUGCAUUUGAUACGUGCGCACUUGAGUUCGGAAGAGGGUCGUGGAAUUCCCAGUGUAGAGGUGAAAUUCGUAGAUAUUGGGAAGAACACCGGUGGCGAAGGCGGCGACCUGGUCCUGGACUGACGCUGAGGCGCGAAAGCGUGGGGAGCAAACAGGAUUAGAUACCCUGGUAGUCCACGCUGUAAACGAUGUGUGCUGGAUGUUGGGUGACCUAGUCACUCAGUGUCGUAGCUAACGCGAUAAGCACACCGCCUGGGGAGUACGGCCGCAAGGUUGAA